CCGAGAUCGAAAGCGAGGUCGGAGAGCAAGAAUGCGAGAGAGAUGCGAUUUCGAGGCGAUCGAAGCGCUUCUGCUGAUCAGGGAAGGACCGAUUAAAAGAUGGAAGCAAGCAUAGCUAUGGAGGUCAAGAACAUCUCGGACGAGUUGGAUGAAAUCAGAGAUUAAUUAACCAUCCCAAAUCUGCCACCAACUUCAGCACGAACAAUCUUAAACACUCAGUGAACCACCUGUACAAACUGUCCUGAGAUUCAAACAAGCGUUCCUGAAUUAAAGGUGAAAAACAAGC